rnacentral:lncRNA from 1 species
CUGACCUCCUUUCCCUGUGAGGGAGAAUCUCAUCUGGCCACCAGGCUUGGACUUGUUUGGCACCAGGAGAAGAUAAGACAAUAUUUCCUCCUAGGCACUUUUGUCUGAACCACGUGGCACAAAUUGGCAGAGAACAAGGAAAAGAAGAACAGAGGAAGGAGAAAAGGAGAAAAGUCAUUCUGCUGAAAACGAGCUGACUGAGUUGGCUUGGCUGUACAUAGGAGGAAGACCCUGAUCCCUGGUGCUCAACACAGAAAUGCUUCAAUGAUACCCUGAGAUUGUUUUACCUUGCAACACUCUCUGGAAAAUUGCUGCUCCAGGAAUGCGAUGAAAAGAUCUGUAAGAGAGCACAGCCCCUGUUGAUUGACUUGUCUUGAUCAAACCAGAGCUUCUGGCUGGGAUACUGGUAUCUUGAGUGAGUCACAGCAGGAGAUACGUGCUGGAGCUGAAGAGGUUGGAGAGGCAGCAGAAAAGGAAAAGAUUAGGAUGCAGACAUACACAAAAGAAAACCCAUGUGAAACCAGAGGGAGAAGAUGGCGAUCUAUAAGCCAACAAGAGAGGCCUCAGAAGAAAUCAACCCUGUUGACCCCUUACCUCAGACUUCCAGCCUCCAGAACUGUGAGAAAAUAAAUAUCUGUUGUUUGUCACCCAUCCUGUGGUAGUUAGUUAUGGCAGCCCUAGCAAACUAAUAUAUCUUCUUAUGGCAUUCUUGUAUUAAGUUGAAAAUUCAAUAUUUGGCAUCACAGCCAGAAAAAAAAAUUAACGUCUCAAUUUUGUGUGUAGUCUUU